rnacentral:rRNA from 1 species
GACGAACGCUGGCGGCGUACUUAACACAUGCAAGUCGAACGGAAAGGCCCUGCUUUUGUGGGGUGCUCGAGUGGCGAACGGGUGAGUAACACGUGAGUAACCUGCCCUUGACUUUGGGAUAACUUCAGGAAACUGGGGCUAAUACCGGAUAGGAGCUCCUGCUGCAUGGUGGGGGUUGGAAAGUUUCGGCGGUUGGGGAUGGACUCGCGGCUUAUCAGCUUGUUGGUGGGGUAGUGGCUUACCAAGGCUUUGACGGGUAGCCGGCCUGAGAGGGUGACCGGCCACAUUGGGACUGAGAUACGGCCCAGACUCCUACGGGAGGCAGCAGUGGGGAAUAUUGCACAAUGGGCGGAAGCCUGAUGCAGCAACGCCGCGUGCGGGAUGACGGUCUUCGGGUUGUAAACCGCUUUCGCCUGUGACGAAGCGUGAGUGACGGUAAUGGGUAAAGAAGCACCGGCUAACUACGUG